rnacentral:rRNA from 1 species
GUGCCAGCAGCCGCGGUAAUACGAAGGGGGCUAGCGUUGCUCGGAAUCACUGGGCGUAAAUCGGGUGCGUAGGCGGGUCUUUAAGUCAGGGGUGAAAUCCUGGAGCUCAACUCCAGAACCUGCCUUUGAUACUGAAGAUCUUGAGUCCGGGAGAGGUGAGUGGAACUGCGAGUGUAGAGGUGAAAUUCGUAGAUAUUCGCAAGAACACCAGUGGCGAAGGCGGCUCACUGGCCCGGUACUGACGCUGAGGCACGAAAGCGUGGGAAGCAAACAGGAUUAAAUACCCUGGUAGUCC